rnacentral:misc_RNA from 1 species
UUGCCCUUCCCUAUUCCUGUGUCUAAGAAUAUUAGGACACCUAGUAUAGCAUAUGAAACUACAUACAAUCGUUUGUUUGUGUUAGCUCCAACGUCCAUUUUUGGUUUUCCAACUUCAAACUUUGACUGAAGUUCUUCCAAAGAUCAGGGACAGCACUCAGCAGAAGUGAAUGUAGCAAAACAUGGAGCCAUACUUAAAUCAAUGUGGAUGUAGGUAGCUUUUAAUGGACAAAGAGGAGGCUUUAAAAUGUGUUGCCCUCAAUAUCAGAAAAAUGGAACCCAUCAUUCAUCCGUUACUUCAAACCAACAUCAAAAUUACAGUGGAAACUCCUUCUGCAGAAGGUCUAUAUUCCGAGAAUCGCAAACUUCAAGCAUGUCAUUCCUAGAAGCACAGCUCAAUGAAAUUCUCAAAUAUUGCCAGGCAUUAUCUGCCUUUGGAUUCAUAGCAAGUGCCCUCACAUAGUAGCGAAUGGAUUCCUCGUACAUACCCUGGUUGGCAUAACUGAUUCCCAU